rnacentral:ncRNA from 2 species
GCAGAGUGCGCUGCGUUUCGAUGAGCCGGGACGUGGCGCCGCUCUAGCCAGCGCCUGGGCUCUGUGGCGGGCGCCGCAGCUCCGCGUCCCCCGCGCCUCCUCCCAGCGCAGCACGGACGCCUGAAGGUGAAGACGUCAGAAGAGCAGGCGGAGGCCAAAAGGCUAGAGCGAGAGCAGAAGCUGAAGCUAUACCAGUCAGCCACCCAGGCCGUAUUCCAGAAGCGCCAGGCUGGUGAGCUGGAUGAGUCCGUGCUGGAACUGACAAGCCAGAUUCUGGGAGCCAACCCUGAUUUUGCCACCCUCUGGAACUGCCGACGAGAGGUGCUCCAGCAGCUGGAGACUCAGAAGUCUCCUGAAGAGUUGGCUGCUCUGGUGAAGGCAGAACUGGGCUUCCUGGAGAGCUGCCUGCGGGUGAACCCCAAGUCUUAUGGUACCUGGCACCACCGAUGCUGGCUGCUAGGCCGCCUGCCUGAGCCCAACUGGACCCGAGAGCUGGAGCUCUGUGCCCGUUUCCUGGAGGUGGAUGAGCGGAACUUUCACUGCUGGGACUAUCGGCGGUUUGUGGCCACA